rnacentral:lncRNA from 1 species
CUUGGCCAGGUGAUUGGUUACAGUCAGUUUUAGAGCUCUCGUCUAUCUGUCAGUACUUCAUAGGGGAUGACUAAGUGUUGACGAACUCAUAAGUAAGAGCGGAGAAAUGAUUUGUGUGAUGUUCUUUAUUGUUAUCAUUUAAAUUCUUUGUUUAACUAUCUCCUGAACUAUACUUAAUGCAGGAGAUUCUUUAAUUUUAUUUGUGUGAUUUUUAGUGGAAUCCUGAACUACGCUUUUUGCAGGAUUCAUUUAUGAUUUUGAGUGAUUUUGAAUUGUUGUGUUCUCUUAAUUAUUUCUUUUGAAUUCUCUUGCUUUUAGGUGAUUCCUGAACUAAGUUAUUAAUGCAGGAAUUUCCAGUUUUAUCUUAUGUGAUGUUAAAAUGGUUAAGUUUUAUCUUAAGAGUUACUCAUACGAGCUUUUUAAGCUUACCUGGUUUGUUGUUUACAACCCGGUGCAUCAAUUCAUGGUGUAUGGGUUAGACCUGCAGGUGAUGAUUAGCAGGGUUGAGGCAGUGGCUUAAGAGCUGGGUUUUAGGCGAUGUACUUUUUUUGUAUAUCAUGGCAAUUGUUUUUAACCUCAUGUGAGCGACUUUUUAUUACUUGACUUUUGAAGUGGUUGUAAUUAAGGAGAUGAAAUGUUUAACUCAGUUGAUGAGUUUGUUGACAAUUACAUUUCCAGUGUUUGAUUUUAGUUUGGGAGUUGUUGAGGAGGUUUUGGGAUAUUAAGAAUUUGAGUUUUAUCAUGUCUAAAUUUUUGAAAUUUAUCCUUCGAAAAUUGGGGUGUGACAAAGCUAAAUUUUGACAGCUCAAUAACUUCUAAUUCAUCUGCUCAUGGUUUCGUUAUUAGAGACUCUACUGGCUUUCCCAUUUUGUCUGAUGCACUGAAACUUCACAACUCUUUUGUUCUGUUAGUUGAAUGCAUAGCUUUAAAAGAAUGGCUCGUUGUUGCCAAAAGACGCAAUUGUAAUCAAAUCGAAGUUGAAGGAGACUCUUCUCUUAUCAUCACCUGUGUCAAAGGAUCCUGUGCUAUUCUUUGGAAACUGAAGUCCCUAGUUAGAGAUGUAAGAGCUCUUGCCAAUUCUUUUGAUAGCAUUACCUUCUUGCAUACUUUCAGAUAGGCGAAUUUUCUUACGGAUGCUCUUGCUUCAGUUGGCCACUCCCUUUUCUCUCUGAUGUGUUGGUUUGAUGGGAUUCCUCCUCAAGCUCAAAUGACUCUUCUUAUAGAUUCUUGUUGUAUUGGUCGCCUUCGAGGUUCUUCGUUGUAAUUUCUUUUUCUCUUCAAAAAAACAAAAACAAAAACAAAAGAAAAAACUAGCCAAGAGUUAAGGGUCUAAUUUUAGGAAAAUGUAAUGUGGAUCUAUAACAGGGACAUAACAUAGUACUAGGUUCAGCCCAGAGACUUUUUUGGUUGUUUACAAAUAUUUUAGGGUAGGGAUCUAUAAAAUAAGCCUAUAUAUAGAUAGACUAGCCCAUACAAAAAAUUAAAUCUGCAGAGAUAUGGCAGAAAAUAAAAUAAAAAAAUCUUCCUAAAUCUACUCCACUCCCACAUGGCACCACAACUCCACAUAUCUUUCAUUAAAAAAAUAUAAUCAUUCACCUAAUUACCUUCAUCAACUCCAAGACUUCCCUUCCCUGUUCUCCAAGACUCCAACCAAAAAAAACUCUCCCCUGUCGAAGAAAAACUCCAACUCUUUAUCUCUCUUAACUAAAAAAAGAGUCUCUUGUACAGAAAAAAAGAGAGUACUUUCGAUCAAUAUUGAUCAGGAAUCAAGAGGUACGUUACUAUUCUCUUUAGAUUCUUACAUCUAAAUUCAAGUUUUAAUUCUAAGAUUAUAUUAACUAUUAAGUUUCUGAAUUUAGGGAUAUGAAUACAAUUAUUUUCUGAAUUUGGAUUCUUGUAUAAGUAUUGAAUCAAUUCUGCUUUUUUAGAUUGACUUUCCUAAUGUCGGAUACUAAAAAGCCAAAAAGAUUGAAGACUAUAUUGUCGUUUUUCGGAAAGAACGCUGAAUCUUCAAGAGACGAGUCUACAAACUCAAACCCUUCCUGUUGCUCCGGUCUCUAAUGACCACAAUCAAUCUGUACAUCCUCAGCCUCAGAAUGAAAGAGAUGAGUCUGAUAGAGUUGUAAACGAUCAGGAAUUCGAUAUCAACUCUCUUGAACGUGAUCCAGGUGUACGUCGUCAAAUAUGCAGCUAUCCUCUAAAAGAACAUGAUAACGUUCGAUUGUCAUAUAUUUUGCAAGGACCAUGUCAACCGAAGUUACCAGAGUAUCCGGCUCACUUAGAUGGAGAUCAAAAUCGCCGGUUCAGUGAGUCUUGGUUCACAAAAUUUUCUUGGUUGGAGUAUUCAGUUAAAGAAGACAAAGCUUAUUGUUCCCAUGCUUCAUUUUUGAUAAAGGUAAGUCAUAAAAAUCAUUUAUUGUUGAAGGGUUUAGAAAUUGGAAGAGAGUCGGGGGUGCAGGUUGUGCCUUUAAUAGCCAUGUGGGCGGCAUCAAAUCUGCACAUCAUCUUGCUAUGCAACAAUGGAAAGACUUAAGAAAUCCAUCAACGCAUAUUGACAAAGUGGUAGACAGAUUACCACCAGCAAAAGUAAUGGAAAAUCGGUUGCGUCUAAAUACAACCGUGGAGAGUGUCAGAUUUUUGGGAACCCAAGCAUUGGCUUUUAGAGGUAAUGAUGAGUCCAUGAAUUCAGAUAAUCGUAGAAAUUUUAAUGAAUUACAGGAGGCUUUUGGAAUGAAUAAUCCAGAGGUUAAGAGAGUCUUAGAUAAUGCUCCUUUCAAUGCAAAGUACACCAAAAAUACAAAAAGAGAUUCUCAACAUUUGGGCCAACAAAGUCAAAAAUAAAAUUCGAGAAGAAAUUGGGGAUAAUAAAUUUUGUCUUCUUGUUGAUGAAGCAAGUGAUUCUUCUCAUAAGGAACAGAUGGGUAUUGUCCUACGAUUUGUUGAUUGCAAAGGCUUUGUGAGGGAGCAGUUCUUUGGUAUUGUGAAUGUUGCUGACACAAAAGCUCAAACUCUUAAAGAUGAGGUAUGCAAGGUGUUAGGUAAAUACAAUCUUUUAGUGAAAAAUUUACGGGGUCAAGGUUAUGAUGGUGCUAGCAAUAUGAGUGGCUCAUGGAAUGGAUUACAAGCAUUGUUUCUUUAGGAUUGUCCGUAUGCAUAUUACGUACAUUGUUUUGCUCAUCGUUUACAACUUGCUUUAAUUGGUGCAGCAGAAGAAGUUAGAGUUGUUUACAGAUUUUUUUCAAUGCUGAUUAAGAUUGUGAAUUUCGUUGGUGGUUCUACCAAGCGUAGUACAGAGUUAAAACUGACAAGAGAAGCUGAAAUUGAAGAGUUGUUGGAUGCUGGAUUGGUUGAGACAGGAAAAGGAGCUAAUCAAACUCUUUGUUUACAGAGACCUGGAACCACUCGAUGGGGAAGUCAUUUUAAGUCUGUUAAUAGUUUGAUUGAAUUAUUCAGCUCAACCAAGCUCGUGGUGGAGAACUUAAAGGACAAUGGACACACUAGACAAAUUUGUGGUGAAGCUGAAGGUAUAUAUCUCUCUAUGACCUCUUUUGAGUUCGUGUUUGUCUUGCAUUUUCUGAAUAAAGUCAUGGGCAUCACUGAUUUUCUUUGUCAAAAAUUCCAAAAGAAGUCUGCAGAUAUUGUUAGUGCUCUUAAUCAUAUUUCUACUACAAAAAUGUUGCUUCAAAAUUUUAGGGACAAUGGUUGGGAGAAUUUUCUUGAAACUGUGAUAUCAUUUUGUGAAACUCAUGAGAUUGAUGUGCCUGAUAUGAGUGCUCCACAAAGGGUGGGUACUGGUCGUUCUUGUCAACAAAAUGAUGACAUUACAAUAGAACACCACUAUCAUUUUGAUAUAUUUAAUGUUGUUAUAGAUAAACAGAUGAAGGAGUUAGAUGAUAGAUUUCCAGAGCAAUCAAAGGAACUUCUCACUCUUACUGCAGCUUUAGAUCCUCAAGAUGAUUUUAGGUGUUUUAAGAAGGAUGAUAUUUGCAGUCUUGCUGAAAAGUUCUAUCCCCAAGAUUUUACUUCUGCUGAGUUGCAUGCUUUAGAUUUGCAAUUGACAUUUUAUGCUGAAGAUAUUCAUAGCCGUCCUGAGCUUCAGAAUAUUACUAGUCUUUCAGAAUUAUGUGUGAAAUUGGUUGAAACAAGAUUAGCAGAAGACUACCACUUGAUUCAUAGAUUGCUUUGUUUGGUAUUAACUCUUCCUGUCUCUACGGCAUCGACAGAACGAGCAUUUUCAGCUUUGAGAAUUAUUAAAAAUCGACUUCGGAGCAAGAUAGAAGAAGAGUUUCUUGAUGAUUGCAUGUUGGUUCAUAUCGAAAGACAAUUUGCUGAUAGUAUUGACAAUGAGUCAAGUAUUGAUGAAUUUGCUACAAAGCCUCGUAGAGUACAGCUUAAGAUUAGGUAGUCAGAUUCGUUUUUUAUAUAUGUAUGGAUUCUACUUAUUCUAAUGAUCUAAUUUUCAUACAUUUUGAAUUUUUUAUCAAAGAAAAAUUUAGCCCAGAUAGUUUUGGAAUCCUGGUUCCGUCCCUGAUCUAUAAUAUAAUGUUUAGAGUUAGGGUUUAGGGUUUACUAAUAUGGUCCUUGUCAGAAUAUAAGCACCAACCAAAUGUCUGGUAUUAUACCUCUAAAGUGGUAGUUUAUGAUCACAAUCCUCUCCCUUGUAUAGUUAGAACUUAGAAGUAAGAACCCCAACAUAAGGGAGAAUGUAAAAUGAAGCACCGUACUAUAUUGUUGCUACUAGCCCGUUGUGGGCAGCAGCAUAUAUUUCACUCAUGCUUUUCUAAAGGAAAAAUGUCCAAAUAGUGUCUCACAUUUUGAAGAAGCAAAGCUUUUGUAUCUCACAUUCAGAAAACUUUAAAACAGUAACUCAUGUUCUUACCUCGAUAAAAGUUUGGUAUCUAGAACUGUUAGCUCUGUUAAAAAAACUAACGGCAACCAUUUUUAUUCAUAAAAUGACCAAUAUACCCUUGAGUUUUUGUUUUAGUUAUUCUUUUUAUAUAAUAAAAAAAGAAAUUCGUCAUAACGGUACCUCAUCUUUUAUUAUCACAAAAAUGAAAUAUAUAUUUAGAGAAAAAAUAAUGAAUUAAAAUAUGAAGAGACGAAAAAUACCCAUAAAAAAUGGCCGGCUGACAGUUACCCUAUUGGAGGUUACGACUAAAAGUACUUAAAUUGGGUCUACCGUUCUGUUGGUUUCAAAACUUGAAAUACCAAAGUUUAUAAGCAAGAUAAGGUACCAUUAUGAAUUUUUUUUAUUUUUAUUAUUAUAUAAAAUGAAAAACAAAAGUAAAAACUGAAGGGUAAAUUGGUCAUUUUAUGAAUAAAAAUGGUUGCCGUCAGUCUUUUUAACGGAGCUAAUGGUUCUAGAUACCAAACUUUGGUCGAGGUAAGAACGUGAGAUACUGUUUUAAAAUUUUCUGAAGAUGAGAUAUCAAAGCUUUGCUUCUUUAAAAGAUGAGACAUUGUUUAGACAAUUUUCUCUUUUCUAAAACCAAUUAUAGAUAAGAACCAGAACGGAACCACCGUCCAUUUGGUUUUCUUGUUGUCUUAAAUUUAAGAAUUAAAUUCAGUUUACCUCCAUGAGGUUUGGGAGUAACUUCAUGUUAAUCUCUAUACUUUCAAUUUCAUCAGUUUACCCCUCAAACUUUUGAAUUUUCCUCAAGCGUGACCAAAUGUCAUAUAUUCUGUCUAAAUCGGACGUUAAUUGCUGAUAAUUUUAACCUUAACUGUGAGGCCAGUAUCUAGAAUUUGGGCAAAUCGGAUCUUAUAUGUCCAAAUCAGACCUUAACUGCUGAUAAUUAAAGGUCAAUUCAAAUGGAAUAUGAGAAUUUGGGCACGGCAGACAGAAAUUGAAGAGUUCAAGGGGUAAACUGAUGAAAAUAAAAGUGUAGGGACUAACAUGAAGUUACCCUCAAACCACAAAGGGAUAAACUGAAUUUAAUUUUAAAUUUAAUGUUGCAUCACGGAAUAUGGUGGGGUUCCAUUCACACCCACAUCAAUCUCAACUCCAGCAUGAUAUCAUAUCAUAUGAUUCACGACACAUGACACAAACCGCGUUGUCAAUUCCCUUAAUAUAUAGAAAAUAAUUUAUACCUCCAUCAUGUUUGGUCGUUAAUCAUGUUUGGUGAAUGAGUGUAUUGUCGCUAGUCUUUAUCAUGUUAGUCGCAGGAGACGUUAAUUAGUUGUGUGUGGAAUAACAAAACUCACUUGUUCAAUUCACAUUAACAUCGUCACGGAGAAGAGUUAAAAUGUUAACAUGAAAAUCAAAAAUAAUCUUGUAAAAGAAAAUAGAAGAAAGUCACCGACGACAUCCAGUAGAGAACACACAAAAAAGAAGAAGAAAGAUUAUGUAUAUAAAACAGUGAAAUUAAGAUGAUAGCAUUUAGCAAGGAUCACAGAUGAAAUUUGGAGGCCCUGUGCGGCUGCACAACCAGCACAGCCCUAGGGCAAGUCCUGACCGUGAACAAUCCGAAAGGGGGAUGUCAAAACCGGAAUAAAACUCAUAAAUGAACGUGCGACUCAUAUCAUUAUCAACAUCUAACAAAUAUACAAGUUUAUGAUCCCGAGAUUUAUUUGUACUAGACACAUACACCAUCCAUCUAACAGAAUUAUCAUACCGGCCAAUCAAAGCGUAAGCCAAACCAAACUAGUGAAGUGUCACCUUCUUACACCAGUUGGUCAAGUUCAGACUUCAGACGAGCAUUCUGCUUAUGGUUUUUUUUCGAUAGUGAGCAUUUUGUUUACGUUUUGGAGAAUCACAUAUCCCAUUCUCACUAGGAUAAAGUUUUUAUUCCUUUUUACCCGUAGAAGUUGCAGGCCAAAGAAAAAAAAUAGCAUUACAGGUUGAGAAAGUUGCUGGAUCAAAAUGGGAAAACGAAAUAAACAUGAAGUGAUCACGUGUAAUUCAAGCAACAAUUCUAUAUUUUAGUUUGAAGUGGUGAGACACUAACACCCAGCUUCACACAUACCUUAGAUGAUAAGGUCGAAUUCCACAUGUGGAUUAGUUAUAUCAAAGAAAUGCCACGUUUUUCACAUACAAUGUAUCAGAGCUUCUAAGAAACAUCAUAUAGAUGAUAUAGGCCUUGUUUUGGUCAAGUGAUGCGUCUAAAUUGUCUAGUGCAGCGUUAUCCUAGUUUACUUGAAUGCUGCUCUUCUUAAAAAAAGAACCAUUUUCAAUUAAGUUCAUUUAUCAUAUAGAGAUUACUUGUUUAACUCAACAAACGGUAAUUCAUAACAUCUUAUAUAAAUAAAAAGUUUUAAAAGUCACAAAUCGAAGACAAGUUUAAGACUUCUUCCUUGAAUUACCAUGUUAAUUGGACCAACUAGGUUUCGAUUUAGUGAAUGCUUUUUACAGUCGGUAAAAUUGUCAUAAAAAAAGGGAAGGUGAAUUAAUUCCAUCACACAAAAGAUUUCAAAUCAGUUGAGUUUUUUGUCUUGAUCUCAUUCUGAGUCAGCAACAGUGCUAAUCUCCUCAUCUUUCCUAAUCUAUCCACGUCCAUUACCAAAAACAAAAAAUAAUUCAUUCAAUUUCUUCUAGUAAACAAAUUCAUAUGCCUCCCUGGCGCCUUCUCCCUUUCCUCAAUUCCCUCUAUAAAUAGCUUUCCUCCCCUCCUCUUCCAAACCUUGUCACCUUGACACCUUCAUCAUAUAUCUCAUUCCACAUUUUCAUUUCUCAACCAAGCCCUCCCUCGCUCUCAGCUCUGCUCUGCUCUCUUUACCUCCAUGGAUUCCUGCAACUCCUUUCUUCGUGCUUCCUCCUCUCCUUUCGAUUGCCUCAUCUUCGGUACAUACACAACUUCUCUUCCUAAAUUUCUAGCCAAGUUCUAAUCACAUAAGUAAUAAACUAGUCUUACCUUCUUGAUUAAUCUUACAGAUUUAGAUGACACUUUGUACUCUUCAAGCAUCGGACUCGGUGAAGCUCUCAAGAAGAACAUCGAUGGUGCCAAACUAGACCAUACAUAUUGCAAUUUACAAAUAAUUUCAGAAAAACAAAAUGAAAUAAAACUAAAUUUAAGUUUCUGUGUGGCAGAUUUUCUUGUUGAAAAAUGCGGGUUCCCGGAGAGCAAAGCUUCAAGCCUACGAGUUGAGCUUUUCAAAAAGUACGGCAGCUCCCUCGCCGGAUUACGAGUAAGUACUCAAUUAUUUUCCAUCUAAUUAAUUGUUUAUUUCACCGCCUAGAAAUUAUUAUGUUUAUUUUUCUCUUAGUUUUUGAGAAACUUUGUUCUUCGCUGUAGGCGUUAGGCUACGACAUUGAUGCGGACGAUUACCACAGGUUCGUUCCAAACUCAGUACACGUAUUUGACUUCUUAAUUCUUAUUCUUUCUUUCUUUCUUUUUUCUUGUUUCAAUAAUUAAUUUAAUAUAAUUUUCUUUUGCUUUUUUUCUUGAAUUAUGAUCAGUUUCGUGCACGGAAGGUUGCCUUAUGAUCGAAUCAAACCCGAUCAUCAGCUACGGAACCUCAUUCGCAGCAUCCCACAGAGAAAAAUCGUAAGCAAAUGUCUAAACCAUAAAAUACAAAUAAUUAUCUAAUGAAGUAAGAAUGAAAUAAAUGGUGGUACGAAACAUGGUUGCAGAUUUUUACGAACUCGGACAGGAACCACGCGUUGACAUGUUUGGAUCGUCUGGGGUUGAACGGCUGCUUCGAGCAGAUCAUAUGUUUCGAGACGAUGAACCCGAAGCUAGCCGAGUCGACUCGGCCGGACGAGUUCCCGGUGGUUCUGAAGCCGUCCAUGGAAGCCAUGAGGAUUGCCAUCGAAGCUGCCGAGGUUGAUCCUCGUCGAACGGUUAGCACAUUAUAAUAAUCUCCAAUAAUGUAUUGAGUUUUUUUGGGCGUUACAAAAGUUGUUAGAUGAGGAUUUUGACAAAACGUACGCGUGUUUUGUAAUUUCUGUUUUGCAGCUUUUUCUCGAUGACAAUGUCCGAAACAUCACCGCCGGGAGAGCAGUGGGUCUACGCACCGUUCUGGUACUUCCUCUCAAUUGCUAUGACACCGAUAUAUAACGAGUAGUUAUAGCGAAAUGAAUGGUUAAAAUUUCUAGAACAUGUGAUGUUCAUGUUUUGGAGUAUGAUAGUGAUGUCUGUUUUCGUUCAUGGUACAAAUAUUUCAGUAGGUAUAGGAUGAUACUUCAAAACAAAAACAUGAUUGAAAUGACGAUUACCUAACUCUAUGGCAUGUAUAGUCUGCUCCUAGCUAGCUGGAAACAUUGAAUUCGACACUGUAAUGGGUCAAAUGAUUAGACACGAAAUUACAUCUAGGUAUGCUAAUUUAGUUUAGGUCUUCACUAAAAGGGUCAAACUAAAAAUGUUUAGUUUGGUAUGCUAAUUUAAUUUAAGUCUUCUUGCUUUAUUUGGUAAGGUUGGAAAAACCGUGAAGAGCAAGGAAGCAGAUUAUGUGUUAGAGAACGUGAAGAACUUGGCGCAAUCAAUCUCGGAAGUGUGGGUAGGCGGAUCGGAGGGCAGUAAUCAACAAGUGAAUGGCACCAGAAGCGAUAUCGAGGUGGAUUCCAUUCGGACAACCACCGCGGUUGUAGCUUAACUCUUCAGCGUCCGCCAUCCGGGUGUUUUAGUUGCUUACUUGGGGUUCUUGGGUUGCUGUGGGAUGGGCUUUGGUCCCCUUUUUAUGUAAAUUCUCUCAAUCAUGUUGAUCUUGUAUAAUGUGUGCAUAAGUAUGGGUUGUGCAUAUGAGCGUAAUGUACCAAAAUAAAAGUUCUUUUUUAUGCGAAGGGUUUUCAAAUUUAUAUUUCAUAAUGUACUUAUUUUUAGUACAACUUAAUAAAUAUCUCAAUUGUUCAUAAUGAAUAUCUCAAUUUUGUUUUAGUGGCUAGAUAGAGAAAUCGAAACGUUUGGACAAGAUCCCUCAUUAUAAAUUAGUCUUUAGGCCUCCAACAAAGAUCGAUAUAUACAAAAGGGAAGGUUAUGGUGUGUUAAUGCUUCUCAUACAUUAACUAUAUCUUAAAGUUGUAAAAUGAGUCCUUUUUUUUUUUUUUGAAAUAAGGGCCGAUGCGGCUGCCCUCAAGCCUUGAUUGAUGAAACUGUUAAAUACAUGGGGGGGACAUAGAACCUAUACCCCAGAUUACAAAGCACAUUAAGAGACCUACCUGAAAUAGUAACAGGAGACUCAAGAACAAACAUGUAUUUUAACAAGCACCAACUAGCGAAGAGUGCGAUACUGGCUACUAUAUUCGCUUUACAUUUUUGGUAACAUAACAGAAAGAUAACUCUAUUACGAAGCAUAAUUGCAAAUAACACAGCUUUCCUACUAUGUUGCCACUGGAGAAUACGUUCAGCGACACUUAAUUUCAUCUUGUCACUAGGAGGCUACGACCAUUUGACCACGCAAAUAACUCGUCGCCUAUCUAGAACAGACAUAUUACUACCCCUUGCAAAUUGCGUCCAUUUGCAAAUGCAAGGAACUCGCCAUCUACCUAGAGUAGACAAGGGGCACAAGGUGCCCACACCGGAGCCAAACCCAAUGCAGCGUACCAAAAAAUGGCAGCAGCUUAUUAGCACAACUACUAACAUGAAAAACAAAAACCAACUGGCAGUGGUAAAACAAAAAACAUACUGUCUUGGACCUAGAGAGAAACCCCAGGCCCAAGGAUUACUAUGCUCAAUGUAAGCCCACCCAUGUGUUGAAGUAAGUCGAGUCCAAACCUUGAUCCCAGCCCAACAUAGGCCCACCUCUGCCGCAUCUCCCAAACCGUUGCAUCACCAUCGCCUUCGAAUCUCCCCAGCCAUCGGAAGGAUCUCGCCAGCCGAGCCCCAAUGGAACCCAUCCUCCAUCAUCAUCACCCAAAACCCCGAGAGACCAUAUUGGAGAGAGAGCCCAACACUGCAGUUCUCCCCUCCUCCCUCAGCAAUGCGAAUUGGAGCCACACCUUGUUCAAUCUCCGAUGGCAUCAUGGCAAGAUUUGAGUGGAUCAAACCAUAAUCCAGCGAUCUAGAUCGAAUGCGAACUCUAACCACACGACCGAUUACCACCACCGCUGCCUUCUGCUGAGAUAAAGUGGUAAUAUAGUCUCCAAAGUUGUUACAUGAGUCCUUAAAGUUGUAAAAAGAAUGAGUCACAACAUUAGUUCUCAAAAUUAUAAAAUGAGUUCUUAAAGUGGUAACUGAGUCUUUCUAAUUUAUCAUUUUUACAUUUAUAAUUGAGUAAUCUCAUUCGAACCCAAAUUAAAUGAAAUUGUUGGGUUAUUCACAUAUUUUCUAUUAUAACAUCAAGGAUUCGUGUUUCUCUUGUCUCUAUUGGUCAUAUGGCCUGAGGAGCAAGUAAUGAUAAUUUAUGUAAAAAGCUUGCAUUAAACAUUAAUUUGUGCUUGCUGCCUCAGGGUAUCUAAUAGACUUCCAAUUUCGACUUGGCAUCUUGAAUUAAAAAUUGGUUGAACCGACCUAUUAUAAAGUUCGAUAGUGAUGCACGAUUAAUUUUAUUUGCGGUUUGAAAUUAGUGAUGCAUCAGUGUUUCCUGCCUCUUUAUCAUUUACUCUUGUUGUUGUCAACUACAUGGUAUCUUUUGCUAGUGACAUAGUGCAGAUGAAUUCCAUUGCCAAAAGCAUAUCCUCAUGUUGUCAUUUGGCUAAAUCAUUGAAUUAUUGCAGCCUCACAACUCUGGUGUCUAUUAUGGUCAUGAUUAUCAUUUAUUUUUUUUUUUUUGUUACAUGAUUAUUAUUAUUUUUAGUGAAAGCGUUAUCUUUAGUAAUUCUUUAAUAUUGAUACAUAAUCAACUUCAUAUGUACAUGGGAGGUUGUAAGUUCGACUCACGAAGUUGUAAUAUUUACCUAAUGUCAAGACCCACCCCGAAUUACUAUGGUGGGUCCUACUUUUUCUCACCCACAUUUCAAUAAAUAUUGAUAAUAUUUACCUAAUGUCUAGACCCACUGAUGCAGCCUGCAUUGCAGACAACUAUCUCUUUCAUCUGGAUGGUCGAAAGAGCAAGGGUCGUAACUGAUAUGUUAAAUGCAUUUAAUGUUUUGUCUUAAUUAGCUGAGUCUUUUAUUUUCCUCUAAAUCAGUUGUGGUUUACUGGAAGCUUUAAAGCUUCUGUAACUGAUUUAGAUUUCUGUUUAAAAGCUAUGGUAUAGCUUUUGGUAUGUAGUUUUUGGGGAGAUUAAAAUAAACAGAGAAACUUUCUCUUCUAUCAACUUGGUAUUCCUUAGAAAUCAACAAGGCAUAGUUCUCUUAUUCUUGGCUAUUCUUUUCUGUGAGAAUCAACAAGAGUAAGAAUCAACUCUAUUUCAUAGAGUUUGUCAUCUUUCCUAUCACGCACGCUGUCACCCACCCUGAAUUUUACCUUAAAACCCGGAGUAAGUCCUGCGGGGAUCACUCCCAAGGAAAGAUUUACCGAAAAAUUGGCAAAACCUCCCUUGAAAAUGGAUAACCCAAACCUGAAAAAUUUCAAAUUUACACUCCUAUUAAAACACAUCCAACCUUAACUCCUGGAGCCAUCCGCUCCCCGCAAACACAACCACCACAUAAUCAACAAUACAUCAACAUCCAAACAUCACAUAAAAAUAUCGAGCUAAAACAGUAAAUCUUAUCCUUCAGAUACUCUAAACAGAAAUCAAUUGACCGAGCACACCACCGAAAUAAUUUACAUUAAUCCCAAAGUAUUCAGAGCUACUAGACACUAGCGGAAGCAAGAAAACACAGGUAGGUUAAACAGGCAACCUACUGGUAAAAAGUGGCGGAAAUGCGGGGUGACUAUGCCUCGCCUCCUACUAGAUCGAACCCGAACUCUGUAGACUGGGCAUUUUAAAACAAAGGGCCCAGGGGAAAAACAUUUGAUAACGUUAGAAUGAGUGGACAAAGAUAAAUUAAUAAAAAUAUAACUAUGUUUCCCCAAACCAAUUUACAAGGAAAAAUCGAAUGCAUGCUGCACGCGAUAAAACUUUAAUCUCAUAAAAUAUCGAGUCUCUCAAGCUCUAAAAUAUAUGUAUGUGUUUACACACGUCCAUACUCCCUAUAUAAAUUCAUGGGUCUAUAUAAGGCUACUACGCUCGCGUCCAACGCUCACGUCACGCCUUAAUGCGGUGCUACACUACGCCAUUAAGGUGGACAGACAUGUGUAUAAAUAUGUGUCCAUACCCCCUAUAUGAAUUAAACACCCAUAUAGGGCUCCAACGCUCACGUCUAACGCUCACAUCACACCAUAAUCCGGCUAUAUGCGACGCCAUUAAGGUGGACAGACACAUAUGGUUGGAUAGCUAGCAUUUAUAUACAUACUCUCCUCAAUAUACAUAUUUAUACUCACCAAAAAAUCUCAUUUUUCGGUAACUCUCCAAGAGAAAUAAAAGCGUCAAAAUAAAGAUGACGUCAAAAGUCCAACAAACUCAAUUGUUCAACCAUGAACCAUAGCAUGCAUAUUAUUAAAAACAAAAGUCCACUCACAAAUUAGGCCUAAGCUUGAUGUCGAUCUGGGGUCUCGUCUGCUCGAGCCUCCUCACGUCCUGUUCCAAAUAUAAUAUUAAUUUCCCAACCGAAAUUCCAAUACUUACUAAAAAAAAGGCAAAAUAAAUAUGAGCCGUAACCAAGGUUCUAAAAAACGGGUUAUGCGGCCGCCUAAGCGGCGGCUAGGCGCUAAACGCCGCUAGACCGUUCCGAUUUCAGUGUAAUCGGGUGAGGUAGUCGGCAGGCAGGAAAUCGGCCUCUAAGGCGGGCUGGGCGACGCUGGGCGGUCUGGUCGGCGUUGCCGUUUCUUUUUUUUUUUGGAAUUUUCGUCAAAAAUCAAAAAAUAAACCCAAAUCCAAUAUAAAACUCAACCUCAGAUUGGUAGAACGGUCACCGGUCGGGAUCUGGGCUUCUUGAAUUAUGAAAUCUGGGUUUUUGUAGCAUUCAAAUGGAGAAGAAGAGAAUAGAGAGAGAAGCAGAGAGAGAAGGGGAAGCAAAGGGAGAAGAGGAAGCAUAUGAUGAUGAGGAUGGGAUUACGGUGGUGACGAAGUUAUUGAAGUUUCAUUUCUUUGUAGUCGUCACCGUCUGUAGAAGAGAGAGUGCAGGCACAAAGGAUAAAUUUGUUCUUUGAAGCAUAGAGAAAGAGGAUAAUUAGGUUAAACUGCUAAAGAUUAUACCAUACAUUAUGGGCCUAUAUUAUUGGGCCUUACAUUUGGUUAAGGGCCACCAUCCAACAAACUUUUACUUUUUACAUUCUUUUGGUCAAAAUCUAUAUAUGUAUAUAGCUAGUUAUUAUACCUUUCAUUAUUUAAUAUUUAUCAUAUAUAAUGAUUAUAAUCUACAUAACUAAACUAAAAUAGUCAAAAAUAAUGCCGUUACAUAUAUAUUUUGAGUAAUUUCAUGUAUUAUAAUGUUUUUUAUAAUUUUAUUUAUAUAAUUAUUAUUUAUAAAAAAAUAAAAAAUACAAAAAUAUAAAACCGAUUAAUCCCCGAUUAAUCUCCGAUUAAUCUUUUGGGCGUUGUCCGCCCGACUAGCGCCUAACGUUUUUUAGAACCUUAGCCGUAACCACACUCAUUCUCGCCUACCUUUGAUAUUCCCAAACCGAAACGAUCCAUACUUUAAUACCAUAAUCGGCAGCCGUAACACAACCUCCCACAGAUUUAACGACUUUAACCUUACGGCCGAAUUCUACAUUAAUUAACCGCCAAAAAUUCCAAACUUCGGAAAUUCACAAACUAUCCAAAACUUCUCCAAAAAUUCUAUAAUUCACAUCAAUAAACUCCCCUUAAUAUUCCACAUUUAAAACCAUAAAAAUCUCCCAAACAGCGGCGGCCGGAGGCCGACUCCGACAACCUCCAAUGCCUAUGAAAAUUUAACAGCAGCUUCCUCUCAACCCCCUCUACAACUUUCCUAACUAACACAAACAUCAAUUCCAAGCCUAACUAGGGUAAUCGAACCAAAACGUCCUAAAAACCCUAGAAAAUUCAACUCCACACAUCUCCUUACUUAGCUCAAGAGAGGGUGAGACCUUUGGAGGGGUUGCUGCACGGGAGGAAGGCUUUCUUUCGAGCCAAGCAGCUCCGCCUAUGGCGGCUGGAGGAUGAAGUUCCGGCGAGAAAACCACCACGACAGCUAGCGGUUCUGGGCGUCGUUUCUCUCCCACGAUGGCGCUAGGGGGGCUGUCACCGGUCUAGGGAGGUAGCUGGGUUGAAGGCCGACCGAACGGGACCGGUGCGGCGGCGGAUGGUGGCCGGACGAUGGUGGACGGACGACGAGAAGAUCUAGCAGUGGGAGAGGGAAAGAGUCGGGAGGGAGAAGAGAAGAAAGAGAGAGAGAAAUGGUGUUUGGGCCUCAUACCAACCCGGUCCAACACCCUUAUACCAACCCAACUCCAAAAUAAAACACCCCGAAAAAUAAUACCCUGAUAAAAAAUUACAUUUUACUAGCUAAAAAUUUACCAUUUUUAUCGUCGUCAUAUUUUUCUCCUACGAAUAAUCCUCCGAAAAUAACAGUCCCCCAACCCUUCUAGGGACCAAUUAAACUAUAACCUCUAUGACGGAGAUGGUAAAAUUCUUAUUAUAACCAAGCUAGUAAAUAAGGUAAAAAUUUAAAGGUCGGGAUGUGACACCUAAUAAAAAAAAACUUCAUUACAUGCGAGUUCUUUUUACGUCUUUGUAGUUGUAAGAUUUUGAUAGAAAUUAAUGAAAUCAUAUAUACGUGCUUGGCUAGCUCAAUACUGUUGCCAAAGAUGGUAUGAAAGUUUAAAAAAGGGAAUUUAGGAACUUUAUUAGAGACUUUUUUCUUAGAGCAUCUUCAUUUUCCAACUAUGUCUUCAACACUGUAUCUAAAAAAUUUGAGUCUUAGGAAGCUAGCUGACCCGUUUUAUCUAAAUAUGAUCGACCGACCCUAAUAAGAUUUAGACCUAAAUAGGUUAACCAAAGCAAAGCCCAACAUGGAACACCUCACCAAUCAGUUAAUGAUUGAACUAUAUGUAAUAUAAAAUAAAAGUAAAAUAUGGACUAAUGCAUUAGUUAAUCCAUAUAUUAAAUUAUUAACUCUAUAAAAAUCUUUUGUUGUAUUAAAUUUCAUAAUAGUAAAUGGUUAGAUACCCUUCUCAAGGUUCUCUACUACAACAAUGUAUGAAACACCACCCUUAGAAGGAUUUACAUCAUUCAUGAGUCAUGAAAUGUGGUAAAGAACUAAGAGCGCUUUGGGGAAAUAUGUAAAUUACAAACAUUCAUAAAUAUAUCUGUUAUGGGACUAAGGAAAGUUAACAAUAAGAAAAAGGCUUUGCUCGUUGUUUUGGACCCUGCUCCUCCACGUAAUUUACAGACGUUAGGUUCUUCACCUCGUACACCUUGUCCUAUUCAUUUCCGAAUCUGCGUAACUUCACUCUCCGUUGUUUUCCCAUUAAAGUGAGUUUUGCACACUCACAAAUGCAGAGAUGGUUGUAAUCAUAAGCUCUCCCAGUAAUAAAACAUUCUCAUUUAUCCACAUACCCUUAUGCGCAGACUAUUAUUGACCGCUAUCUGUUGGCGAAACUUGAACCCCAGCUAACACAAACAUCACCAAACAGUUUUUGGAGAAUUUUUGCAACAUGGAACUAAGCAGACUUAAUGCGGAGUACACGACUGUAAAUGAAGAGUCGUUGAAAUGUAGACAAAAGAGUGAUGUACGUGCUUUCCAGGAUUAAAACGGUUGGCCAAGAUGAUCAGCGAUAAAGAGGUCCUUAUAAAACAUGGGCAAGGAACACCUAUAUGCAUUCGAGAAAAACUUGAUUAAGCUGCAUGAUACUCUCUUUCGAAAACAUAAAUCGAGAAUAUUUUUGAAAGAAAUUCAAGAUGACAAUAAGUAUUAUUUCAAAAUUGUAAAUUAGAAAAACUUUUCUUCUGUUGGAGAAGAGUUCAUCAUUUCAUACGCUUCUAUUACUUGAGAAGAGUUCAAUUAUGUUAGCCACACACAAAAAUAUUAUAAACCAAAUUUUUUCUCAAAUCGAUAAAUAGUUUACAAAAUAAGAUCACAACACGAGAAAUAGUAGACAAAAAAGAAAUUUAAGAAACACAAAGCAAAAUCUGAAAAAUCUCAAAUUUUUAAAAGAACAAGAACUAAGAUAUCAUAGGUUUAUGAGCAAAUUAAAGCAACAAAAAAUCAUAAGCAUGCUAAAGAAGUGAAAACAUAGAUUUAUAUACCUCUGGUAAAUCAUCGAUUCGAUGAGAACUAAAGCUCUCCAAUCACCGGUAAUAAUCCUCUUCACUUUAGUUUUCCUCAACAAAUUAAUCAACCGCAAUUAUACUAGAAGAAGGAGAUGUGAUAUGGGUUGUGGAUGCUUGUACGGAUCCAUCGGUCUACCUUGACUUUUAUAGAUAGAAUCGGCGCUGGGGAGGGGGGGAGAGGGGAGAGGGAGGGAUUGGUGGAUGUUAGAAUAGAGAUUUUGGAGAAAAACAUUAAUGUGAUGUUUAUAGAAAUCCAUCAGUCUACGUUCCAUUUUAUAGAUGGAACAAANNNNNNNNNNNNNNNNNNNNNNNNNNNNNNNNNNNNNNNNNNNNNNNNNNNNNNNNNNNNNNNNNNNNNNNNNNNNNNNNNNNNNNNNNNNNNNNNNNNNNNNNNNNNNNNNNNNNNNNNNNNNNNNNNNNNNNNNNNNNNNNNNNNNNNNNNNNNNNNNNNNNNNNNNNNNNNNNNNNNNNNNNNNNNNNNNNNNNNNNNNNNNNNNNNNNNNNNNNNNNNNNNNNNNNNNNNNNNNNNNNNNNNNNNNNNNNNNNNNNNNNNNNNNNNNNNNNNNNNNNNNNNNNNNNNNNNNNNNNNNNNNNNNNNNNNNNNNNNNNNNNNNNNNNNNNNNNNNNNNNNNNNNNNNNNNNNNNCUGCUACUGUUUAGAUCUAUUGGAAGUGUAGAUUUCGAAUCUAGUAGCAGCAGUACCAGCGUCCUAUUAUUAGGUAGUAAAUUUGCUGCUACUGCGAGAUCUGUGGGUAAAGUAAAUUUGAUGCUACUGUUUAGAUAUGUUGGAGAGAAUUUGCUGCUACUGCAAGAUUUGUUGGGAGGGUUAAUUCGCUGCUACUGUUUAGAUCUAUUGAAAGUGUAGAUUUCGAAUCUAGUAGCAGCAGUACCAGUGUCCUAUUAUUAGGUAGUAGCAGAUUUCAAAGUUGGCAUCUAGUAGGCAGUAGCAGCGACAGGCAUCCUAGUUGACAGUAGCAGCAAUAUAAUAUGUGAUUAAGGGUAGUUUCGUAAAAUGUGUAGUGACAGAUGGCAUGUGGACAUCAAUUUGUCUUAAUUUGUUAAAUUUUGUCCUUAAAUGUGUAAGAUAUUGUGUAAAGGAUGUAUUUGUAAACUGAAAUUUGAUCAGUAACUUUAUAGUAAUUUACUAAAACAAUUAAUGUGAAGUUUGUAUAAAUCCAUCGGUCUACAUUCCAUUUUAUAGGUAGAACGGGGGAGGGGGGAGGUGAGGGGUUGGUGGGAACUUAGAAUAGAGAUUUUGGAGAAAAGCAAUUGAUGUGAUGCUCCGGAAGUUGAUGAGGUUUUGUAAAUAUCGUGUGUGAUUUAUAAAAAAAAAAAACGUGCGGUUUUUAUAACCUUGGUAUUUGAAAAAUAAAUAACGGAAAAUAUUUGUGUAAGCUCAGAAACAAAUACAAGAGGAUAAUUCAUUUACCACCUGAUAAUACCCAAAAUAACAUAUUCCCUCUUGCAUUUUCACUUUCUUACAAGUACUAUUAUGCCCUAAGCGGUGAGGGAGAUUACUUAAUUGUACGUGUUGAGUUUUCGCUAAUGGGCAACCCUGAACUUUCGGCAAUAGUGUCACCGGUGAUCUCUGCAACCCUUAAUUUCAUCUAUAUGGAAGUUUUUUUUUACUGAAGAAGCCGCGGUGUGACUAUAAGAGAGCUAGAGGACAUGACGGCUAGCUGCCAAUGCACAACUAGUUGCAGGUAAGAGGAAGAAGAGUUGUGUGAGACUUUUGUCUCAUCAAAUAAGCGAUGUUUGAUCUUGUAUUGAAAAAAAAUAAUUUCAAUGUUUGUUAAACAUGUGUUUGAUCAACAUGACACCGAUUUUUUUAUUUUCAUUUUUGAGCAAAGUAAACUUUAAAUAAUUUAUAACAACCAAAUAUUACACCAUAGGAGAUCUCAAUAGUGGACAACAAGUCCUCACACUCCUCCCUACAAAACACUAGCGAUUACAAUAGGCAUGAAGUUAAUGGGUCCAAAUGUAAUCAAACCUAAUCCAGAAACCUCGAUACCUCCUUACAGUCAACCUAAAAAAGAAACAACCUCUACCAACCAUUAUACACCAAAACUGCUAGCAUAUAUGCAGGGUCGACCUCCCCAUUACAUUGACAACAAGAAAACACCGAAGUUAAAACCGAUAGUCCCUGGACUUGACACCACAAACAUGACCCUAUCGACACGACCAAGACGACACUAACCUACCAAAACCCUAAACGCUCGAACAAAGAAGAGUGACGACAAACAAAACCCACUGAAACAAAUAAAAAAAACAUAAAGAAAAAAAAAGAAAAACCAGACAUGGGCCCAAACGAAGCCCAGGCCCAAACAAUACCCGGCACCUUGGACCUCAAAAAGCAGGCCACCUAGAUACCCGACCCAAACUGUUGUUGUAAUCUCAUCGCAGCUCUACCGUCUCGCCGCCAACGUUAGUCGCCAUCCAAGGAGCUUCAUCGUCCAUGACCCAUCGCAAAAAGGCAGAACUCACCCUUUCAGUAUCAGUACCAAAGCAAUGCAAGAUGACAUGACCCAGAUCAAGGAAUUCGAUCCGAGUACAUCAACGCCGCAAAGCUUUCCUCAUCUCAUCGCACUGCCGCUCCAGCCCACUAUGUAACACCCUGACCCAUAUGUAAAUUCCAAAUUCUUGAGAUAUUACACACUGCCCCGCCUUGAACAAUACGACACUUUGAAUCGACACCAAAAUCUUUCCACCGAAGCACAACCUCACUAUAACAGAGAACAACCAAACAACGACUCGGUCCACACCCAAGAGAAGCCUCCCCCUCUCGUUCCAACGCCACCAUCCUGCAAGGCUAGACCAGCAACUAGCCGCCCUCAAUUCUUGUCUGAUGACAACGUCAUAUGACGUGUCACCGGACGGAAUGGAAAAAUGUUUUCUGAAACCCUAGAGGAGGAUUUGGUUUUACAAAGUUGGAAUUUUUCUAUUCAUAUGGUUCACCAGUGAUUUCACAUUGAGUACCAUGACAAAAAAGAUAUGUAGACUAGGCGGUAGUCGAAACAGAUUUCCUUAUGGUACAGUCGGGAGUAAAGGUCGUCAAAUGGGUCGAGUCGGUCCUGCACUGCCAAAAACCAUUGGGCUCGGUUUAAGAAGGGCUUGGCUCGACCAACCUUUUCAAAUUUUAGGGUCUGGUCAGGCUUUCCAAAAAAAUCAGGCUUGGCCUGCUGGGCUUUUGGAUGGGCAAUGCCGAACACAUUAUUUUCGUAUGAAGAUUUCACCAAAAUUAGUUAAUCUUAUUAUAAAUGAAUGUUUCAAAGCCAUUGAUCUAUCGAUUUAGUGCUUGUUGUCUACUACAGUAUUCUGAACAUUUACAUGCUUGAUAGUCGAUGCCCGAGUCAUGUAAAUUUGAUUGAAUCUAUAUAUGGCAAAUGACAAUACCCAAAUCAUGUUUCUGAAUUUCUGGUGUUGCAUCUUAGAUAAAUCCCAUAAGAAGAUUACAAGAAACACAAAUUGAUUAUACUCACAAGUAGUCACAAGUACAUUACAAAUUACACCAAAUUGAACGAACUGGUGAUCACAAUCAUAUGUCAUACACUUGCUUCCCGGUGAACUUGACCUCAAUUGGGCUCACAUUCUUCCCAAUGGACCUGAAGUUCUGCCCCACUCCUUGGCGCCCAGGGUUCACCUUCUCAGGGUACACACCAUCUUUUGGGUGCAAAUACUGAACCUCACCAUUAGGGAAGACCCUGUAAAACUGGUACUUGAUCUUGUACUUGGACCUCAGUCUUGUCCCAAGAGCCAAACACUGCUCUUUCCUGGCCAGCUUCAACAAGUUAGGUCCUUCUCUCAUGAUGGCUGCACCACCAGUAGGCAUCUCAAAGAUUUGCUCCUUGGGAGAUUCCCAUGUGAUCACGUAGAACUCUUCUUCCUGUGCCUUGCGGAGAAGCCCACCGGUGCUGCCGCCGAAGAUUGGGGAUGGGGUUGUUGGGUCCAGUUCCGGUGGGGUGAAGCCAACUGGAGCUUCGGCCUCCUUUGUGGGCGCCACGGUUUUCUCUUCAGCAGCUGAGAUCCUCAUGGGUCUUGAUGCCACAGUGGAGAGGGUCAGUGACUUGGGGGCCAUGAAGGUGGAGGUGACUGACUGUUUCCAUGGGGCUGAGGCAGUUGGGGUGAAGAGGGUGGCUUGAGUUGCCAUGGCCAUGACUUAGGGCAGGGGGGAGAGAGAAGAGACUGAGGGUUGUGGUGUGGUACAAACUUGUUUUUUAGGUUAUGG